rnacentral:rRNA from 1 species
UACGGAGGGGGCUAGCGUUGUUCGGAAUUACUGGGCGUAAAGCGCGCGUAGGCGGACCUGCAAGUCGGGGGUGAAAGCCCGGGGCUCAACCUCGGAACUGCCUUUGAUACUGCAAAUCUCGAGUCCGGAAGAGGUGAGUGGAAUUCCUAGUGUAGAGGUGAAAUUCGUAGAUAUUAGGAAGAACACCAGUGGCGAAGGCGGCUCACUGGUCCGGUACUGACGCUGAGGUGCGAAAGCGUGGGGAGCAAACAGG